UACGGAGGGUGCGAGCGUUGUCCGGAAUCACUGGCGUAAAGGGCGCGUAGGCGGCUCAUGAAGGCUGUGGUGAAAGUCCGGGGCUCAACCUCGGAUCGGCCGUGGCGACUCGUGGGCUGGAGCACUGUAGAGGCGGGUGGAAUUCCGGGUGUAGCGGUGGAAUGCGUAGAGAUCCGGAAGAACACCAGUGGCGAAGGCGGCCCGCUGGGCAGUGGCUGACGCUGAAGCGCGACAGCGUGGGGAGCAAACAGG
rnacentral:rRNA from 1 species